AUUGAACGCUGGCGGAAUGCUUUACACAUGCAAGUCGAACGGCAGCACGAGAGCUUGCUCUUGGUGGCGAGUGGCGAACGGGUGAGUAAUAUAUCGGAACGUAUCCAAUAAUGGGGGAUAACUAAUCGAAAGGUUAGCUAAUACCGCAUACGCCCUACGGGGGAAAGCAGGGGAUCUUCGGACCUUGCGUUAAUGGAGCGGCUGAUAUCUGAUUAGCUAGUAGGUGAGGUAAAGGCUCACCUAGGCUUCGAUCAGUAGCUGGUCUGAGAGGACGACCAGCCACACUGGAACUGAGACACGGCCCAGACUCCUACGGGAGGCAGCAGUGGGGAAUUUUCCGCAAUGGGCGAAAGCCUGACGGAGCAAUACCGCGUGAGGGAAGAAUGCCUAUGGGUUGUAAACCUCUUUUUUCAGGGAGGAAUAAAAUGACGUGUACCUGAAGAAUAAGCAUCGGCUAACUCCGUG
rnacentral:rRNA from 1 species